rnacentral:rRNA from 1 species
UGAGGAAUUUUUCGCAAUGGGCGCAAGCCUGACGAAGCAAUGCCGCGUGAAGGAUGAAGGCCUGCGGGUUGUAAACUUCUUUUAUUAGAGAAGAUAAUGACGGUAUCUAAUGAAUAAGCAUCGGCUAACUAUGUGCCAGCAGCCGCGGUAAUACAUAGGAUGCAAGCGUUAUCCGGAAUGAUUGGGCGUAAAGCGUCUGUAGGUGGUUUAAAAAGUCAACUGUCAAAUACUAAGGCUUAACCUUGGACAGGCAAUUGAAACUUUUAGACUAGAGUAUGGCAGAGGUAGAGGGAAUUACUGGUGUAACGGUGAAAUGUGCAGAUAUCAGUAAGAACACCUAUGGCGAAAGCACUCUACUGGACCAAAACUGACACUCAGAGACGAAAGCUAGGGGAGCGAAUAGGAUUAGAUACCCCCGUAGUCC